rnacentral:rRNA from 1 species
UACGUAGGGUGCAAGCGUUAAUCGGAAUUACUGGGCGUAAAGCGUGCGCAGGCGGUUGUGCAAGACAGAUGUGAAAUCCCCGGGCUCAACCUGGGAACUGCAUUUGUGACUGCACGGCUAGAGUGUGUCAGAGGGGGGGUAGAAUUCCACGUGUAGCAGUGAAAUGCGUAGAUAUGUGGAGGAAUACCGAUGGCGAAGGCAGCCCCCUGGGAUAACACUGACGCUCAUGCACGAAAGCGUGGGGGAGCAAACAGG